UUACGGAGUUCCCAGCAUCCACUACGGACUACGAGAAAUAGAAUUACCGGUGAGUAAAUUCUUAUUUUUUUUUUUAUCCAUAGGAGUCUUUAAACUGAAUGCGUACAGUGGAGCCAUAUGGUGGGCUGGGCAAAGAUCCAUGGGAAUGCAGCUUAUUAAGAACCAGAUACAGAAGGGUGGCCGGAAUCCUCCAAUGUUCUCCAUUUAGGUGUGGUCCCUGAGUUUUUGACCUAAUGGAUGUUAACCAAUUGCUGUUAACCUAUUGGCUGUCAGCUUAAAUACUGUAUAUCUUCUAUAUGACAACCAUACAUGUACGUCUUAUAAAUGUUAAUAAUAAAAAUAUAUUACAAGUCACAUGUCCGUGCAGAAAUAAACACACUGGCCAUUUA